AACGAACGCUGGCGGCAUGCCUAACACAUGCAAGUCGAACGAGACCUUCGGGUCUAGUGGCGCACGGGUGCGUAACGCGUGGGAAUCUGCCCUUUGCUUCGGAAUAACAGUUAGAAAUGACUGCUAAUACCGGAUGAUGUCUUCGGACCAAAGAUUUAUCGGCAAAGGAUGAGCCCGCGUAGGAUUAGGUAGUUGGUGGGGUAAAGGCCUACCAAGCCGACGAUCCUUAGCUGGUCUGAGAGGAUGAUCAGCCACACUGGGACUGAGACGCGGCCCAGACUCCUACGGGAGGCAGCAGUGGGGAAUUUUGGACAAUGGGCGCAAGCCUGAUCCAGCAAUGCCGCGUGCAGGAUGAAGGCCUCGG
rnacentral:rRNA from 1 species